UCCAAGAUAUUGGCUAAUACAAUUUAAUAAAAUAUAGGAAUGGAGAUGUAACCCAUCUGAUAAAUCGAAAAGUAUAGGAUUGCAAAGAUAAAUGCUCAUCAUGAGAAUUUAGCCCGAUAAUGAAAUGAACUCGGACACAUUGAGGAAAGUCCGAGCCGCGGUUCUCUUUUCUGAUUAAGGGACGGACUCCAUGGAAUCGGUUCAGCCGGAGAUAGGGACGUUGUUUCCGUAAAGCGCCACGGUUCUUGUAGUGCCUCGUGUGCUUUGUUCAAUCCAUGAAAAUCAUGCCAGAUGGUACCCAUAUCCGCAGCAGGUCGGUCUGCAAAAUGAAUAGGCUCUAGUC
rnacentral:ncRNA from 1 species